rnacentral:rRNA from 1 species
CUACGGGUCGCACCAGUGGGGAAUCUUAGACAAUGGGGGAAACCCUGAUCUAGCCAUGCCGCGUGAGCGACGACGGCCCUAGGGUUGUAAAGCUCUUUCAGCAGGGAAGAUAAUGACGGUACCUGCAGAAGAAGUCCCGGCUAACUCCGUGCCAGCAGCCGCGGUAAUAUGGAGGGGACUAGCGUUGUUCGGAAUUACUGGGCGUAAAGCGCGCGUAGGCGGAUUGUUAAGUCGGGGGUGAAAUCCCGGGGCUCAACCCCGGAACUGCCCUCGAUACUGGCAGUCUUGAGUUCGAGAGAGGUGAGUGGAAUUCCGAGUGUAGAGGUGAAAUUCGUAGAUAUUCGGAGGAACACCAGUGGCGAAGGCGGCUCACUGGCUCGAUACUGACGCUGAGGUGCGAAAGCGUGGGGAGCAAACAGGAUUAGAUACCCCCGUAGUC